rnacentral:rRNA from 1 species
UGGUGGAGUGAUUUGUCUGGUUAAUUCCGUUAACGAACGAGACCUCGACCUGCUAAAUAGUACGAGGUAUCUCAUGAUACUCUUGGCACUUCUUAGAGGGACUGUCGGCGGGUUACCCGACGGAAGUUCGAGGCAAUAACA